AAUAAAGUUUAUUGGCUAAAUGUAAUAAUAAGCAGUUUGCUGAUACUUUAAGUUGUAUACGACAUUGACAGUGUUAUAAUAGUGGUGUAGAGCAUUUUUAAAUGUAUAUUAGACAAUAAUGUUUUUACUAAUGUGUUUGUUAGGUCAUGAGAGUAAGAGACCCACGCUGCAAGAGAUACUAGUAGUAUGGAAUUUCUCU
rnacentral:lncRNA from 1 species